CCGUCUUGCGCUGGCCCCUCCCGGGAGCUUCACGAGCGCCUUGGCGGGACGCCUGGCGAAGGGCGCGGGCAGGUGGUUUGUGGGAGGCUGGGGCACAGUUGAACUGCAAGGCGCAAACCGAUGAGGGGUAUCUGCUUUUCCCCAGUGCGCCGUCGCUCGUGUCGGGAAACCGGCAGCGUGGGCGGGCAGACCAGGAAACGGCGAGAAGUUUUGGCGACGAGCUGGAGUCUUCCUGGAACAGAGAGAAAGCGCGGAGCCCGCAGCGGGCUUCUCUGGCAUCGGCAGUCUACGUGCUGCUCACGCUGGCUCGCUGCUCUUGUGGAAUUUUAAAGGAUUUAGACGAAGGGUCUCGUUAUUUCUUGAAUCAUAAUUUCUGCCGCCAUAGGGAAGUGGACAGGUUGAGGUGGUCUUUCUAUUUAUCAUUCACUCUUAUUUUCAGCUUUUGUUUUAUGUACUUGGGAAGUCUUUAACCUCUCACGUCUUUAAAAUUCCGGUGUGAAAGUGACCCCUGAAGCCUCAUGCACUCAACUCGUUUGACGUGUUCUCUCUUGCCCUUGUCUGUUGUCUUGAGUCUCAUAGCAUAUGUUUGAAACUUUCACUGUCGGUUUUGGAGGAGCCACUGUGGAUAUUGACGGGGCAAGUGACAGGAUCGUCAGGCUUGUAGAGAGAUUAUAUAGCAACCAGGUGUCUGAAAGAUUCGAGGCAGGGGAAAGAGUGGGAAAGCAGUUCGUAGGCUAGGGUAUUUGUGCGUGAGGUGACACGCAAAGCUAGUGGAGGCAUUAGAGCAGGGGUUAGCAAACAUUUUUUGUAAAGAGCCAGAUUAUAUUUUAAGUCUGUCUAAAAUACUCAACUCUACCUUGUAAUAAGAAAGCAGCCAUAGACAAUGAAUGAGUGUGGCUGUGUUCCAAUAAAACUUUAUGGACGUCGAAAUGUUAGUGUAAUUUCAGGUAUCAUGAAAUAUUAUUUUGAUUUAAAAAAUCAUUUAAAUAUGUAAAAACUUUUUUUUUUUUGGCCUUGGAGGUGUGUAAAAACAACUUGUAAGCCAUAUUGCUGAGCCCUGCAUUAGAGGUACUUGAAGAGUGACACAAUUGGUGAUAAGUGACCAUAUAUUCUAUCCUUCAAUAUGGAACACUUUUGGAAGUAAACAGGGCAUUAAUAAUUAUAGCCAGAGAAGAGGAAUUAUUAAAUCAAUUUAUAUCAGGCAAACCUAAGUGAAUGGUCCCUAAGGUUAAGGGUUAGGAGAAGUCAAAAUUGCUUUAGGACUUGGUAACAGAAAAUGGGAGGUGCCAGUGUUGGAAGUAGGAAGAUAAAGAAGAAACUGGUUUUGAGGAGAAGAUAGCUAUAGCAGUCCCAAGAGCCAUAUACAAUUGGGACAGCAUUAAUAGGAAGAAAGAAAGCACCCAGAACCAGGCCACUCCUUAUAUCUUAUUGACCAGAACUGGGCUAUUAGCUAUCCCUAAAGCAGUAACAGACAAGGAGUAUGGGACAUCCAUGAUUACCUAGUGUUUAUCUAUCUGGCUUUUCCAGUUCUUAUGCAGGACCGUGUUGGGCGUUGCUGGACAUUCAGCAUCUCUGGUUCCUUCCAACUAAAUAUCAGUAGCACAUCUCAGGCAGUGUGACACCGUAAAGCAGCCCAUUUCCUCUCCUCCCCCCAGAGGUGUGAUGCUUGUUGAGAACCACUGGCUUAGGCUCUCAGGAUUUACUUUGGGGCUGAAUUAUGUGUGUGUAGAUUUCUUUUCCAAUUGGUUUGGAGGGAAGAGAGGAAUUGGACAGUAUUAAAGUUAUGUUGUCACGGAAGUGGGGUGGAGAAUGUUAGCUAACCAACAUUGGCUGCCACGGAAGUAAAAAGUUUUCCUUUAUACCCUUGCUAAAAUAAAUCUCCCGACUUCUUCACAGUUGAAGGCUUCCCAAAACCGGAGCUUUUUUGGAUUCUCAUUGUUUGCCCCUUGAACUGGGCUAGUUGGGAGUUCUUAUUUUCCACUCUAAGUAACAAUCUCUUGUCCCAGUAGGAUACUCCUGCUUUGAAUACCUCAAUAACUUUGCAAUUGGUGACUUGUCAUCAGUUUUCUCCUACUUCAUUCCUAUACAAAGGGACUAGACCUGUGUUCUGAUUUCCCUUGCUGAGACACCAAUCUCCAGGGGUGCUCUGUAAUGUAAAGAGAACAUUUCAGAAAGUUCAAUUGGCACUCAAGGGCCUCCAUAAGUCCCUGAAUGGCUUCCCUGCCUUCCCCUUCUGCAGCAAACAAUUCCUUGGAUACUCUCUAUUAAAUGAUACAUUUCCCCUGAUGAUACCUAGUCCCUUGCCCCGUUUAUGCUAUGUGCAUUUUCCACUCUAGGACUUGGCUCAUGCUGUUUCCUCACUGAGAGUACCCUUCUCAUUUCCAGCCACACAGUUUCCAUUAACUUCCCAUUCUUUCGCUUAAUUCUACCUCCACCCAAGGCCUCUAACUGUAUCAGCCCACAUUAACCUGUCUUCUUUGAAUUUCUAUGUAUUCCUUGCCUAUGCCAUCCAUUUUGGCCUUUUAUUUUAUGUUCUUGACUUUUCUGUUACUGAAACUGUCCUUUGGAUCCCAAGAUUUCCCCUUAUCCUCUGUGAAGGCUCUUUUUUUGGACUUCUUUCUACCCUCCUUUUUCUCUUUAUAUACCUACCUUGCCUAAAGGACAUCUACAAGAAUCCAUCAUCUAGAUUAUUUUCACCUAUUAGCGUUUUUUCCGACACUUCAUCUAUUUACUGAUUUACCUGUAAUCUCGCCUGACUUUUCUCUGGAAGAUUUUAGUACUAGCCACCAAAUAUUUUUGUUUCUUUUUCCACACACAUAGUAGAUUUAGAUUUCCCUACUCCAUUUACCUCAAGAGGGCCAAUAAAAUGUGAUUGGAAAUGACUUGUGUCAUUUACAAACAAAAGCUUUAAGAUCCUGUAAACAUCUCUUUGUUUCUGCCACAGUGAUUAAAUAUUUUAAUUAUCUAUUGUCCCAUGACAAAGCACCUUAAAUCUUAAUGGUUUAAAACAGUCACCAGUUUAGGUUUUGUGGGUUGACUAGGCUCAUGGGCAGUUGUCUGAUCUUACUUAGGGUCUGUCUUGUGGUUCCAGCCGGGUAUUGUCUGGGGCUAGAGUAUUUGGAGACUCAGCUGGGUUGCUAGAAUGGCUGAGCCUUUCUAUUUACCAGAAAGGAGUCUCUGUUCCAAAGAUUCCCUGAUUCACAUUGCGUCUUCAGUAGAGUAGCCUGACUUCUUGCAUGGUGGCUUAGGAUUCUCAAGUGCAGAAAAGCAAAAACUUCCAGGUUUUAUAAGUCUCAUGCCUGGAAAUGACAUAUUGUAUUGGUAAAAGUGGUCACAGGGGAAGCUCAGUUUUAAGGGGAGAAGAAAUAAACACUUUGAUAGGGGCGGAGGAAGAGUGACAAAGAAUCUGGCCAUCUUUAUUACAAAAAUUUUUGUCAACCACAGAGUUCCAGGAAAAUGUGGCCAUCUUUAUUACUCUAAUGAUGUUUCAAAUUGUGUAGGCUUCUAUCAGUCAGGGUCUCAGAGAAAGGAAAAAGUGGAAAAGAGCUCCCAGUUAACACACAUAAAUAUAUGAAUAAGAAGCACAUCUCUGCUAUUCUAAGUCACUGAACUAUUUGGAGUUGUUUGGUAUCAACUUUUGCAUACUAACAUAAAAACUGGUACUGGAAAUAGGGUGGUUUUAUAACAAAAAUCUAAAAUAUGAGUCACUGAUGUAUAUAAUAAUUGUGUUAGAAAUAUUUGUGGUUGGUUGGUAGGCAGUGUCCAGCUCUGACUUACUUAUACAUUUCCCAGUGAAUCUAGCUCAGAAGUUUGCACCAUGAUAUUCAAUAAAUAAUUCUUAAAUAAGAGAGAUUGUUGUAUUUUUUUUCUAUUUUAGGGAAUAGAGAAUUUUUUUUUCCAUAUCACACAUUUCUUGAAACGUAGAAGGGGUGCCAUGAAUCUGUUAUUUGAUGCUCUGUUCCAGUGCCACCAGUGAGUUUCCUGAUGUGUAAGUUUGGCUCAUGGGCAGCCCACCUUCUUACUUCCCCUUUCUCUCGGGAGCCAUCCUGUUCAUGGAAAGUGUGUUUUCUCCUCUGCUACCUCAUACAAGUUUCAUAGGAGUCUGCUCCUGCCAAGGGAGGCUUGGAGUAAGCUGAACAGCAUCAGCUCCUUGGGGGAAGGGAAAUUUCAGGUUUGGGAGCUAAGUUCACUUCCAGGGAGUGACAAAGCCUGUUGUUUGAACUUUAAUUUACAGAGUGAAAGAGUUCAAUGUUGGCCAUUAAUGAUUUUGGACUUUAACAUGAAGUUGAUACUGAUUACUUUGGGCCAUAAUUUAGAAGGACAGAGUGAUUUAAUCUCUAAACUUUUAAUUUCUCUCUGGAAAAUUAAUAUUGAGAGAGGGUCAAAAUCAAAUUGAAGAUAUCUUGUUGGUUCUUAAAGUAUUUGAUCAUAUUUUAGAAAUUCUGAUAACGCUGGACAAGCUGACAGGACAUAGUUUGAGAUGGCAGUAGAACACAUUGUGACUUACAGCCUUGGGUACAGAAUAGCAUUGGAACUGAUUUAACUGAUAUGUUGUUCUGACCCAUUCAGAGCGUUUUGGGGACAGAAUCUACAGUUUACCAGUGGCCCCAGAAUGUCCUACAAAAGAGGUGAAAUCAGUAUUGGAGAAGUGGUCUUAUGAAGAUGGGAGCAGGACUACUCCAAUUGACUGCCGACUUCUCACCCAAUGGAAUAACCACAUCCCAACCUGAUCUCAGUGGAUAAGCCCAUAGGGUUAAGAACCCUCCUAUGGUUAAUAGUGAACAGAGUGGUACUCUCAGAGUCGAUUCCACAUAGGAUCUGGCAUUGGAUGCCUUGCACAUAAGACCAGCCUUACUGCAUAUUCAUAGAAUGACUUGGUCAAGCGAUGUAACCUUUACUUCAGUUUCUUCAUGUGUAAAAUGGGAAUGAAAACUUCCUCCUAGAGGUCGCAUAUGACAAUAAAGUGAGAGACACAUGAAGAAGAAAGUAUAAAGAAUGAGAAAUUCUGCUUCCUAGAAAUAACUACUGUUAGAGUUUUGAUGAACAUUCUUUGAGACAUCUUGCUUUACAUACACACACAUAUAUAUUAUACAUACAUAAUUUUACAUAAAUGGAUUUAUAAUAUACUUACUAUUUGUAACCUGCUUUUUUUUUUUUCCACUCAGCAGUAUGUCAGGAACUGGUUUCUCUAUUAAUAAAUGUAGGCCCACAUAGUUAUAUCCAAUUGUAGCACAGUGUUCAAUUGUAUCACCAUAUAACUAAUCCCUUAUUAAUGGAAUUUAAAUAAUUUCCAAUUCUUUAAAACAUUAUAAGCAAUCAUUGUGUCCAUAUAUCUCUUAGCGUGCAUUCCCUGGAGGUGGAAUUGCUAGGUCAAAGGAUGUGAGCAUUGAAACUUUUGAGACAUAAUGCCACACUUGGCUCAAAACCAACCCCCUUAAUUCAGGUGCUAUUGAUGUCCUGCCCAUAUCUUCUUGGCCCACUCUGGAGGCCUCUCAGAUGGAACAAGCUUAUGGCCUAUUGAGUGUCUCUGCCAGGAAUAUUCACUAGCUGUGGAGCCUAUCCACACUCAGGGAAGCAUGAAGUGCCGGAAGUGCAUGGGGAGUUAAUGUGACCCCUAACUACGAAAUGAUGUGAAUUGGUGGAUAAAUGCUUUAGUUUCCUUUCCCCAAGGUGGGACUACUGUAAUGUGUGUUUUAUACAGUCCUUAGGAGAAUUCAGUCUAGUUGCCUGUAGUACUAUCCUGCUCAUUAACUCACAAGUUAUUUGCUUUCCUCCCUUACUACCUGACUGCCCCACUCCUUUACUGGGGUUCGUGGGACUUUUACUCAAAUCCUAGUCUCAGGGUCUGCUUUUGCAGGAACCCAAAUGAAGACAUCCCUUCAUAUUAUAGGUGAAAGCUGGGGCAGGUAGAAUAAUGGCCUUUUAAAGAUAUCCAUAUCUUAGAUUGCAGGAACUUGUGAAAAUGUUACCUUACUUGGCAAAAGGGACUUGGCAGAUGUAGUCAUGUAUGUAAUCACAUCUUAAGAACCUUGAGAUAGGAAAGAUAUCCUGGAUUAUCUGGGUGGCCCUGAUAUGGUCACAAGCGUCCUUAAAAGUGGAGGAGGGAGGCAGAAGAAGAGAGUCAGAAGGAGAUGUGAAGAAUCAGUGAUACAAUAUUGCUGGCUUUGAAGAUGGAGGAGGGCCAUGAGCCAAGGAGUGUGGGUGGCCUUUAGAAGCUGCAAAAGGCACCAAAACACAUUUACCCCUGGACCCUCCAGCAAGGAACCUAGUCCUGCUGACACCUUGAUUUUAGCCCAGUGACUUCUGUAUUGGACUUCUAACCUACAGUACUGUAAGAUAAUAAAUUUGUGCCACAUUUGUGGUAAUCUGUUAUGGCAGCAAUAAAAAACUAACACAAAAAGUUAAACAAUACAAGGCAACAGAUGCCAGAAGCAUCAUAUGGCAGUGCUUAUUGUUCCAAAAGAGGAGCAUGAACAAUGAGGCUGAGAGAAGGAUGAAAUCAUGAAACUUGUUCCUUCCUCUUGAGCAUAGGGUGGUUUGUUGUGGGUGUUUAGGGUAGUGGCUCAAGGACCACUAAAUAUAGGCUUGUGGCCAGAAACUCUCCCAACGAGCUGAGGGUUUGUAUGAAUUUUAAUUUACUUGAAAAUUCCACCAGGUUUCUAAAAACUUUAGUGUGUGUAAAAAUUAUCUGGGAAAUUAAAAAGUUAAAAAAUCAUCUGAGGAAUUUGUUCAAAAUGUAGAUUCUUGGAUCCCAUUUGCCUGAGGUCCUAAUUCAAAGGUCUGGAAUAAGGUCCAGGAAUUUGCAUUUAAAACAAGGUUAUUCUGACACACAUUGCUUUAGGGGACUUUCCUACUAGAAACCCCUGCUCUUUGGCAGUUGUGGGGGAGGUCUAUAUAACACCCACUUUGUCAGGCAGUUUGUGUAGGUAAGAUCUGAAGAGAAGGGAAUCACUAGAAAUUGUCAAUUAUUGUAUCAUGUCCAAAUAUCCUACUUUUGUUUCUGUUUUGGGGUGUCAGUCACAACAAUCAUUAGCAUCAACUGGAAGCCUGAAUGUAAUAGAUGGGGUGGCCUGUGUCACCAGAGACAGAGCAUCUGGGCCCUGGGCCCCUGAGGAUUGUCUGAUCUUAUGGUUGGUUUGCUUACAAUAGCAUUUCCUCAUUUGGCUGAUGGGCAAAUCAUUUUCAGAUGACCUUGGAGAGCCAGGGCAGUUCAGCUGUUACUAACUGGAAGCUGCACACUCAAACAUUUGGAAUAUCCUGAGGAUUACAGAUGUGCUGAAGGAUGUCUUGGAUUUCCUCCAAUGAAGGUUUCAGAGGUCGCCUGAAAAGAAUGCUCGCCUCUGCCUCGUGCCUUUUAGAAGGAGGCUCUGUGCUUGUCUAGCUUUAUGCAGCUCUCUGAAAUGUCAGAAGAUAAGAAAUGCCUCUCAGCAUGAAGGCUUCCAGACACAUAUGUGACAAGAAAUUUGGCAUCAGCUUUAUAAGUGUCAGAUGUCUAGGAUAAAGCAAUAUGGGUAUAGUAUUUCUGGUGCUAUUUUGGUGCCUUGUGCAUGAGCCUGCAGCAUUAGAAAAACUGCUUUUCAGCUUUGGAUGAUAGCCUUACUGGCACUCGGCAUGCAUGUCUGAAAGUACAGUUGGGUUAUAUUCUAGUUAUGGUCACAGCAAGUCACCUAGAGUUGUGAUAUUGAGCUUUAAGGGGGUGCCCUUGAGGCACAUGAGCAUUUCACAGCCUUUGACAACUUGAGUGGCACAGCCACAGAGACUGUCAUCAGAUGGUGCCAUAUAAGCCUUAAUCAACUCUUGCAACACCCGUGCAAAGUUGGUAAACACUCUUAUCCUCACUUUUCAGGCAGGGAACUAAAGCAAGGAGAGGUCCAACAGACAGGGUCACGGACUCAGACAGUUCACUUAUCUUAUUGUUGAGUGAUCUCAGGUGAAUGAGAUCAGAACGAAUUUCUACUUUCUCUAACUCAGGGAAUGUGUCUCCUGGCGAGAGAGCAUUUUUGGCACUUUGUGACUUGCUGAAAGACUUGAAGUUCCCAGUCUGGCUCUGGCUGUUCAUUGGUUAAGAGCAAAUGCCUGGGGCACUUGGCUUAAUGACUGUCAUAAGCAGUGUGAAAAAAUGUGUAAGAAAAAACAAAAUAUGGUAAUGUAGAGAGGUUGUUAUGGCAGUAAUAUCCAAUAGGAAUGUUAUGUAUAAAGUCUGAGUGAUAAUACAACCCUCUUACCCAAGGUAUUUGAUACUGGCUGAGGGCUCUUUUAUUUAUUUAAAAUCCAGUGAUGAGCUCUGAACACCAUAGCUUAAGAAGAUAAAAAAAUACUUGCAGUGGAGAGUUUCCUGAAUGAUUCAAAAGUGGAAGUAGAAGACCCAUGAGAAAAGAUGACAGCAUUGUUCUUAACUUGUGGAAAGAAAGUUGAUGGAAAAUUAUGAGGUCUAUAAAUAUAUCACAAGGUUUUUAGAGAAGACAAAUUAAUUUUCCAUUGAUGACAAAACUUGAAAAAGUGGGUUUAUCUUAGAGCAUAAAGGAUUGCAAGAGUCAUAGGAAAGAAUCUUUUGGUGUUAAGAAUGGUUAAAAACCAGACUAGGCUACCUAGAAAGGAAUUCCCCUUUUCUGAAGAUCCUUAGUAAAUAGGCUAAACCAGCCAGGCAUGAUCAAGGUUAAUGAUGUCAGCUGGUGUCUCUAGUGCCCCAAGGUGGGCUGCCUGGUAGUGAUGGUGGUAGGAUUACUUUUCUUUCAACUUUUUAGUUUGAAAUAACUUUAGAUUUACAGAAAAGUUACAAACUAGUAUAGAGAGUUCCCAUAUAUCCUUCACCCAGCUUCUCCUGAUAUUAGCAUUUUAUACAACCAUGAUCAAAUGAUGCAGUGAUCAAAACCAAGAAAUUAACAUUGCUGCAAAAUGGUGGUAGGAGCUUUGAGGGGAGGCAGAAUAGGUAAGAGUGUGGACUUUCACAAUCCUUCCAUGGGGCAGACCGCUUUUAUUAUUUGUUUAUGUUGGAACUCUGCAUACUAUUUUAUUUAAACAAAUAGUUCCAUUGCCAGAAUUUGAAAACCAUAUUUAGGAAGAGAGAUAGUUAAACUGACCUCUACUACUAAGAUUUUGUGCUUUUGAUAAUUAUAUCAUUUGUCAGAUAAUUAGAGGGUAAAUGUGUUUGGUAAAGACAUGUAUGGACACAACAUAAUGCUACAUAUACAUUUUGUUCAUUUCUUUAUUCAGGCUUGUUCUGCCAUAAGCAGGUUAUUGAUACUUGCUUGCUCUCCAGCACCAAAAACCAUGACUGGCACAUAGUCUAUGCUUAAUUAACAUUUGUUCAAUGGAAUCAAAUUGGCAUGUUCACCCUUUUCUCAUUUCUUCACAUGCCUGGCUUUUUAUUUAAAUAUCUGUAUAGGCCUUCCCUAACCAUCCAAACUAAAAUAACCUUUUUCUAUUAUCUCUCACUUUCUCUCUCUUUUACCUGGCACUAUUUUGUUGUUAUUAUUCAGAGCACUCAUCAUUAUUUGAAAGAUGGCCUAUUUGUUCAUAUGUUUGUUAAAAGUGUAUGGUCUGUCUCCUGCUAACAGUAAGCUCCUUGAGGACAAUGACAUUGUUUUGUUGAAUCUUUAUUGAUUCUAGGGAAUGGUAUCUGGUACCUGAAA